ACCUGCCUGGUAGCGGGGGAGUAACUAUUGGAAACGAUAGCUAAUACCGCAUAACAGUAGAUAUCGCAUGAUAGCUGCUUGAAAGGUGCAAUUGCACCACUACCAGAUGGACCUGCGUUGUAUUAGCUAGUUGGUGAGGUAACGGCUCACCAAGGCAACGAUACAUAGCCGACCUGAGAGGGUGAUCGGCCACACUGGGACUGAGACACGGCCCAG
rnacentral:rRNA from 1 species